AUUGAACGCUGGCGGCAGGCCUAACACAUGCAAGUCGAGCGAGCGGCGGACGGGUGAGUAAUGUAUGGGGAUCUGCCUGAUGGCGGGGGAUAACUACUGGAAACGGUAGCUAAUACCGCAUACCAUCAGAUGAACCCAUAUGGGAUUAGCUUGUAGGUGAGGUAACGGCUCACCUAGGCGACGAUCCCUAGCUGGUCUGAGAGGAUGAUUGGCGCAUCUGGGCCUGAGACACGGCCCAGACCCCUACGGUAGGCAGCAGUGGGGAAGAUUGCACAAUGGGUGCAAGCCUGAUGCAGCCAUGUCGCGUGGAUGAAGAAGGCCUUCGGGUGGUAAAGUACUUUCAGUUGGGAGGCGUUACCGACAGAAGAAGCACCGGCUAACUCCGUGCCAGCAGCCGCGGUAAUUC
rnacentral:rRNA from 1 species